CGCCGCUGCGAAAGCGAGUCUGAUUAGGGCGGGUAGGACGUGGUCGUAGACCCGAACCCCGGGGAUCUACCCAUCGCCAGGGUGAAGUUCAGGUCACACUGAAUGGAGGCCCGAACCCCCGCACGUUGAAACGUGCGGGGAUGAGGUGUGGGUAGCGGAGAAAUUCCAAUCGCACCGGGAGCGAGCUGGGUCUCCCCGAAGUAGCUUUAGGGCUUGCCUUCAGUGUAGGCGUCUGGG
rnacentral:rRNA from 1 species